rnacentral:rRNA from 1 species
CACCAGACUCCUACGGGAGGCAGCAGUGGGGGAUAUUGCACAAUGGGGGAAACCCUGAUGCAGCGACGCCGCGUGUAGGAAGACGGUCCUCUGGAUUGUAAACUGCUGUCCCCAGGGACGAAGAUGACGGUACCUGGGGAGGAAGCUCCGGCUAACUACGUGCCAGCAGCCGCGGUAAUACGUAGGGAGCGAGCGUUGUCCGGAAUUACUGGGUGUAAAGGGAGCGUAGGCGGGGAUGCAAGUUGGGUGUUAAAUCUACCGGCUCAACUGGUAGUCGCACUCAGAACUGCAGCUCUUGAGUGAAGUAGAGGCAGGCGGAAUUCCUAGUGUAGCGGUGAAAUGCGUAGAUAUUAGGAGGAACACCAGUGGCGAAGGCGGCCUGCUGGGCUUUUACUGACGCUGAGGCUCGAGAGUGUGGGGAGCAAACAGGAUUAGAUACCCGCGUA